UUUAUUAUACAAAUUGCCACCUUUAAUAAAUCUUAACAGAAGAGCAACCCAGGAAAAGAAAACAACAAAACAGUAAAGGGAUGUACAGAAAUGCUCUGCAAACAAGACAAACGAUUCUUGGGUAUUUGGAGGAUGACCAAAUUCAAACACACAGAAGGCAUCUUCCCUUCGGGUCUUUAGAAGGCUGAGCCUAGAGGGGAGGCCUUGGCUGGGCACCUCCCAGAGGCCAACAGACCUACUGCUGCAUCUCCUCCAGCCUCGAUGGUCGCAGGAGCCAGGGUGAGGAGGACGCCGCCAGGUGUGGACUUGAGGUUGCUGAGCCUUUGUGCUCUGCACAAAGAUGAUGUGCCUCACCAGUGACAGGCAGGAUGGACAUGGGUAUGGACACAUGCCAGCACUGGGUAACGACAGGUGAGUGCGUGGGGCACCUGACACUGGAAAGCGUCCCACAGUUUGGUGGCACAGACAGUGCGUCCCCCCAGAGCUCCGUGGUUGAGGUGUGCACUCAUCGCCAGCUCGGCCCCCAUUGGAAAGGUCUUGCCUCCAACCUCCACACAAGGUCAACCUCCGGAUUCAGGGCAAGCCGAGGGGGCUUGAUGUAGGUGCUUCCGUCGUGCCGUGAUUCUACAUGGAAGCGAGGAUGCCUCUGUCACCCUGGUUCCAUCCACCUGCUUCCCUUUCCAAAGAUUUGGCCUGUAAAUCGGACACUGGGGAGAGCCCAGGAGUGAAGCUGUAAGAAAGCACUGCUUCUGUAAACUGCUUGUAAAUUGCAUUUUCUUUGUUAAUUUGGGAUUAAAAAUUCUCAUUGCCAAUGGACUACUUGAGCCAUACUCCCUCCCACAGAGAAGGAAGAAACAAGGCUGCUGGUAGGAGCGCUGUCUUCUCUCUGGCUCCAUUUUGCGUCCUUGGCCUUUUCACACUUCCCCACAGAGAAUGGAGCUGCAGGGAUAAUUAAGCCUAAAGAUGAAAAUUUUAUCCUCCCCAAGUGGGAAUCUGCUGCAAGCCUAGGGUUGACCUGAAGUUAAUUUUGAAUGGGAAUGUCGUGUUUCAGAGCUUUUAUGCUAUGAUACCACUAUAUAAUAUUUCUCCAUUGAAAUAUCAAGUUCUAGAAGUAAGGAAUGUCCAAAUGCAAUUCUUCAUUACCGUGUUCCCUAGGAUGAUUCAAUACUUGGGGCCCCUGAACCUUCCAGAGGCACUGACUCAUCAGUCAGGGGCCUGGCCUGGGGGUCAGAUCUGAUUUCCAGUCUUGACUGUAUGAUGCAACAUGAUAUGGCACAAGACAUUUGGCCUCUCGGAGCCUUAGUUCCAGCUCCAAAAAUCUAGAAAUUCUAUGUCUCAACCUUCAGAGACCCGGCCACCUUGUUUUAAAGGUUGUGCAUAAAAUAUGGACACAGGUCAUUAGCUAUCUCAUUAAAUAUCUGUCAAAUGAAUGAAUGAAUGAACAAAUGAGUGCCAGUUAGGGCUCCGAAGCCAUUUUCUGGAAAACUUUGGAAGAACAAUCAAAGGCAAAGUUCAGCAACCAAAAACUGGAGACUUUGAUUUACUGUCACCGAAAAGUUGAAAAAUCUUAGUAAGAGACACUUGA
rnacentral:lncRNA from 1 species